rnacentral:rRNA from 1 species
GACGAACGCUGGCGGCGUGCUUAACACAUGCAAGUCGAACGGAAAGGCCCUGCUUUUGUGGGGUGCUCGAGUGGCGAACGGGUGAGUAACACGUGAGUAACCUGCCCUUGACUUUGGGAUAACUUCAGGAAACUGGGGCUAAUACCGGAUAUGAGCUCCUGCUGCAUGGUGGGGGUUGGAAAGUUUCGGCGGUUGGGGAUGGACUCGCGGCUUAUCAGCUUGUUGGUGGGGUAGUGGCUUACCAAGGCUUUGACGGGUAGCCGGCCUGAGAGGGUGACCGGCCACAUUGGGACUGAGAUACGGCCCAGACUCCUACGGGAGGCAGCAGUGGGGAAUAUUGCACAAUGGGCGGAAGCCUGAUGCAGCAACGCCGCGUGCGGGAUGACGGCCUUCGGGGUGUAAACCGCUUUCGCCUGUGACGAAGCGUGAGUGACGGUAAUGAGUAAAGAAGCACCGGCUAACUACGUG